AUAGCGUAUAUUAAAGUUGUUGUGGUUAAAAAGCUCGUAGUUGAACCUUGGGCCUGGCUGGCCGGUCCGCCUCACCGCGUGUACUGGUCCGGCCGGGCCUUUCCCUCUGUGGAACCCCAUGCCCUUCACUGGGUGUGGCGGGGAAACAGGACUUUUACUUUGAAAAAAUUAGAGUGUUCAAAGCAGGCAUUGGCUCGGAUACAUUAGCAUGGAAUAAUAGAAUAGGACGUGUGGCUCUAUUUUGUUGGUUUCUAGGACCACCGUAAUGAUUAAUAGGGAUAGUCGGGGGCAUCAGUAUUCAAUCGUCAGAGGUGAAAUUCUUGGAUCGAUUGAAGACUAACUACUG
rnacentral:rRNA from 1 species